rnacentral:rRNA from 1 species
AGCUAGUUGGUGAGGUAAUGGCCCACCAAGGCGACGAUCGGUAGCCGGACUGAGAGGUUGAACGGCCACAUUGGGACUGAGACACGGCCCAGACUCCUACGGGAGGCAGCAGUGGGGAAUAUUGCACAAUGGGGGAAACCCUGAUGCAGCGACGCCGCGUGGAGGAAGAAGGUCUUCGGAUUGUAAACUCCUGUUGUUGAGGAAGAUAAUGACGGUACUCAACAAGGAAGUGACGGCUAACUACGUGCCAGCAGCCGCGGUAAAACGUAGGUCACAAGCGUUGUCCGGAAUUACUGGGUGUAAAGGGAGCGCAGGCGGGCGAUCAAGUUGGAAGUGAAAUCCAUGGGCUCAACCCAUGAACUGCUUUCAAAACUGAUUGUCUUGAGUAGUGCAGAGGUAGGCGGAAUUCCCGGUGUAGCGGUGGAAUGCGUAGAUAUCGGGAGGAACACCAGUGGCGAAGGCGGCCUACUGGGCACCAACUGACGCUGAGGCUCGAAAGUGUGGGUAGCAAACAGGAUUAGAUACCCUGGUAGUCCACACCGUAAACGAUGAUUACUAGGUGUUGGAGGAUUGACCCCUUCAGUGCCGCAGUUAACACAAUAAGUAAUCCACCUGGGGAGUACGACCGCAAGGUUGAAACUCAAAGGAAUUGACGGGGGCCCGCACAAGCAGUGGAGUAUGUGGUUUAAUUCGACGCAACGCGAAGAACCUUACCAAGUCUUGACAUCCUGCGACGAUGCUAGAAAUAGUAUUUUCCUUCGGGACGCAGAGACAGGUGGUGCAUGGUUGUCGUCAGCUCGUGUCGUGAGAUGUUGGGUUAAGUCCCGCAACGAGCGCAACCCUUAUGGUCAGUUACUACGCAAGAGGACUCUGGCCAGACUGCCGUUGACAAAACGGAGGGAGGUGGGGAUGACGUCUAAUCAUCAUGCCCUUUAUGACUUGGGCUACACACGUACUACAAUGGCGUUAAACAAAGAGAAGCAAGACCGCGAGGUGGAGCAAAACUCAGAAACAACGUCCCAGUUCGGACUGCAGGCUGCAACUCGCCUGCACGAAGUCGGAAUUGCUAGUAAUCGUGGAUCAGCAUGCCACGGUGAAUACGUUCCCGGGCCUUGUACACACCGCCCGUCACACCAUGAGAGCCGGGGGGACCCGAAGUCGGUAGUCUAACCGCAAGGAGGACGCCGCCGAAGGUAAAACUGGUGAUUGGGGUGAAGUCGGAACAAGGUAGCCGUAGGAGAACCUGCGGCUG